CUAAUACAUGCAAGUCGAACGAGAACCUUGGAUUCGUCUGGGGGGGAGAGUGGCGAACUGGUGAGUAACACGUGGGUGACCUGCCCCGAAGACGGGGAUAACCGUUGGAAACGACGGCUAAUACCCGAUAUACUCGGUGAUUCGGUUCAUCGAGUAAAGGCUCCGGUGCUUCGGGAUGGGCCUGCGGCCUAUCAGCUAGUUGGUGGGGUAAUGGCCCACCAAGGCGAAGACGGGUAGGGGAUUCGAACUGAGACCAGCCACACUGGCACUGAGAUACGGGCCACUUGGCUACCGCCGGCAGCAGUCGGGGAUAUUGCACAAUCGGCGAAAGCCGGAUGCAGCGACGCCGCGUGGGCGAUGAAGGCCUUCGGGUUGUAAAGCCCUUUUAUGGGGGAAGAGACAAGGACGGUACCCCAAGAAUAAGCGUCGGCUAACUACGUGCCAGCAGCCGCGGUAAAACGUAGGACGCAAGCGUUAUCCGGAUUUACUGGGCGUAAAGAGCGUUGAGGCGGUUCCGUAAGUUGGGCGUGAAAGCCCCGGGCUUAACCCGGGGAGGUCGUUCAAUACUGCGGGACUUGAGGGCAGCAGAGGGAGGCGGAAUUCCCGGUGUAGCGGUGAAAUGCGUAGAUAUCGGGAGGAACACCAGUGGCGAAGGCGGCCUCCUGGGCUGUUCCUGACGCUGAAGGCGAAAGCUAGGGGAGCGAACGGGAUUAGAAACCCCGGUAGUCCUAGCCGUAAACGAUGGAUGCUGGGUGUGGGGGGUAUAGAUCCCCUCCGUGCCGAAGCUAACGCGUUAAGCAUCCCGCCUGGGGAUUACGGCCGCAAGGCUUAAACUCAAACGAAUUGACGGGGGCCCGCACAAGCAGCGGAGCGUGUGGUUUAAUUCGAUGCUACACGAAGAACCUUACCUGGGCUUGACAUGUAGGUAGUAGUGAAGCGAAAGCGGAACGACCCUUCGGGGAGCCUACACAGGUGCUGCAUGGCUGUCGUCAGUUCGUGCCGUGAGGUGUCGGGUUAAGUCCCGUAACGAACGCAACCCUUGCCCUUAGUUACAUGUGUCUAAGGGGACUGCCCGGGACAACUGGGAGGAAGGUGGGGAUGACGUCAAGUCAGCAUGGCCUUUAUGUCCAGGGCUACACACACGCUACAAUGGCCGGUACAAUGGGUCGCCAAGCCGUGAGGCG
rnacentral:rRNA from 1 species